GGACCGCGGGGCAAAAUUUUAGAAUUUUUAGAGCUUGUUUGAGUGGGUUUUUGAAAAAUAUCAAUUAUAGGGACUAAAACGUAAUUUUUAAGAUUUUGAGUAUAGUCUGAUUUGGAGGGCCCAGGAGGGGCCAUGUGAUAUUAAUGAGAUGUGAUUGUGGAAAUUGAGAAUUUAGAAGUGUUAUUUGAGCCUCUUUGCAGGUUGGGUAGGUCCCAGGUAUAGGGGAAACUCUGCCGGAUUUCCGGCAUGAAUUAGGCUGUCUAUUGCCUCUUUAGAGUUUUAUUUUGAGUUAGUACUAAUAAAUUUAUAAUUUAAUUAUUAGGUGAUCGAGAUCAACUAUUUUCCUGCAUCCAGCAGCCACAAUAGUCGACGGUGUACUGCUACAGGAGGAGACAUUUUUCAGAAUAACCUGUCCCUUUCCUCUCAGGUUAUGAAAAGAUUACUUAAUUGUAUUAUUAUUCUCUAAAUUUGUAAUUUAGGACUCCGCAUGUGCUAGUAGUAGCAUUAAGCCUAUCAGAGACUGUAUGAAUUCAAGUUUUCAUAUUAAUAAAUGAAAAGAAAAAAAUUUUAUGA